rnacentral:lncRNA from 1 species
GUCAGUGAGAGCAAGAACCCACCAAUUCCGGACACACUAGCAUGUUAUUGUACUGAAUACUGAAGGAAACUGCAACACAAUGGUCUUCAGAAUACCAGUUAUGCUGGGAAGCACAGCAGACUGUUCUCAUCAAAGAAGAACUUAUCAUAAAUUAUUUUACCGGUAGCUGAAAAGCAAGCCGAGGGAGACUCUGAGAGAUGUGGGUGCCCUGAAUGUAUCAGAUCUCUGUCUGCCUUCUGCAGCUGUAGCAGCAUGCUAGAUGAUGGAAUAGCAGUGCCCUGGGCAGCAGAAGAAAGUCCUGAGACAGAACACCCAGGACAGCAUACUUACCAUGGCUUCCCUGUCUCACAAGAUUCAUCCACAUCGAACUGCCCAAGAACAAAUGUACCACGGGCUAAUCUGGAGGGAUCAAGAAACGGAGGCAAAGAGAGAUUAAAGAGCUUGCCCAAUUUUAGAAAGCUAGUGAGUGGGACAGCUAAGAAUUCAUCUCACACCCGACCCUGGAACUGAUGCUCUUAUCACUUCACUCUUCUGCCUUCCCAUGAUGAGGCAGGUACAUCCGGGGCAGUAUUGCUGUCUAGGCUGUUGUUACAUUAUGGUGAAAGACUAAUUCCAACAUGAAGAAUAAAUCAAAAAUUUAUUAAUUAUGACUAUGCUUUUAUGUCUAUUGUCAAGACCACUCAUAUUUCUUAAGGAGAAUAUAACAUAAUGAAAG